CGGACGGGUGAGGAAUACAUCGGAAUCUACUAUGUCGUGGGGGAUAACGUAGGGAAACUUACGCUAAUACCGCAUACGACCUACGGGUGAAAGCAGGGGAUCUUCAGACCUUGCGCGAUUGAAUGAGCCGAUGUCGGAUUAGCUAGUUGGCGGGGUAAAGGCCCACCAAGGCGACGAUCCGUAGCUGGUCUGAGAGGAUGAUCAGCCACACUGGAACUGAGACACGGUCCAGACUCCUACGGGAGGCAGCAGCC
rnacentral:rRNA from 1 species